rnacentral:lncRNA from 1 species
GCUCUAUCGCCUGACACUAGUGUUUCAGUCUUUACCUGGCAGGUGAAUAUAUAUGGACAGGGAAAGCCUUCUGUAUAUUUGGGGCUUUUUGAUAUAAAUCGUUGGUAUCAUGCACAAAUGCCAGAUUCGUUAAGGUCAGGAGAAUAUCUCCAUAAUUGCUCUUAUUUUGCACUGUGGUCCUUGGAGUCUGUUGUAAGUAGGACUUCUCCACAUGGCAUCUUGGAUAUAUUAGUCCAUGAGCGAAGCUUAAAUAGAGGAGUCCCUCCUUCAUAUCCACCUCCCGAGCAGUUUUUUAAUCCAAGCACUUAUAAUUUUG